GUAGCCUCAGUGGUAGAGCAUCUGACCAGUGUGUGGAAGGUCAUAGGUUCGACUCCUGUUGGUCCG
rnacentral:tRNA from 1 species